rnacentral:lncRNA from 1 species
AUAGAAGGAACCCUUUGUUGACUUAUAGUCAAGCAGUGUCAAAAGCACAGCAGGAAAUUAUCAUUAGCCAAUCUGGACUUCAGCUUCAUCAGCUUCUGAAGGAGAGCAAUUUAGGUAGAAAGUCAAUCACAUCUGUAACUUCGGUCAACCUAUCCAUGCAAUGAGAUGGAAGAAAUGGACUCUAAAAGAAGCUCAAAGGCAGAGAUUUUGCUGAAUGAUGACAGCAGACCGAAGGAGCCUCCGGAAAUUUUAGGUCAGCAUAGUACUUCUCUGAAAAUAUUCAAAAGUGAAGGAGUUGAGAAUCCGGCCUAAAGUAGGCAAGACCAAGAGCUUUGUGAUUUGCACAAGGAGGCUUCUCUCCUAAUCCAGGUAAGGUAGAAAGGAGG